rnacentral:rRNA from 1 species
UACGAAGGGGGCUAGCGUUGCUCGGAAUCACUGGGCGUAAAGGGUGCGUAGGCGGGCCUUUAAGUCAGGGGUGAAAUCCUGGAGCUCAACUCCAGAACUGCCUUUGAUACUGAAGAUCUUGAGUCCGGGAGAGGUAGUGGAACUGCGAGUGUAGAGGUGAAAUUCGUAGAUAUUCGCAAGAACACCAGUGGCGAAGGCGGCUCACUGGCCCGGUACUGACGCUGAGGCACGAAAGCGUGGGGAGCAAACAGG